GACGAACGCUGGCGGCGUGCUUAACACAUGCAAGUCGAACGGGAUUUAGUAGACAGAAGCCUCGGCUAAAGAUUACUAAUGAGAGUGGCGAACGGGUGAGUAACGCGUGAGCAACCUGCCUAUGACAGUGGGAUAGCCUCGGGAAACCGGGAUUAAUACCGCAUAAAAUCGUAGAAACACAUGUUUUAACGGUCAAAGAUUUAUCGGUCAUAGAUGGGCUCGCGUCUGAUUAGCUAGUUGGUGAGAUAACAGCCCACCAAGGCGACGAUCAGUAGCCGGUCUGAGAGGAUGAACGGCCACAUUGGAACUGAGACACGGUCCAAACUCCUACGGGAAGCAGCAGUGGGGAAUAUUGCACAAUGGGGGAAACCCUGAUGCAGCGACGCCGCGUGAACGAAGAAGGUAUUCGUAUCGUAAAGUUCUGUCCUAUGGGAAGAUAAUGACAGUACCAUAGAAGAAAGCUCCGGCUAAAUACGUG
rnacentral:rRNA from 1 species